AGAGUUUGAUCAUGGCUCAGGAUGAACGCUGGCGGUCUGCUUAACACAUGCAAGUCGAACGGGUGUAGCAAUACAUUAGUGGCGGACGGGUGAGUAACGCGUGAGAAUCUGGCUUUGGGUUCGGGACAACCACUGGAAACGGUGGCUAAUACCGGAUGUGCCGAAAGGUAAAAGGUUUACCGCCUGAAGAUGAGCUCGCGUCUGAUUAGCUAGUUGGUGUGGUAAGAGCGCACCAAGGCGACGAUCAGUAGCUGGUCUGAGAGGAUGAUCAGCCACACUGGGACUGAGACACGGCCCAGACUCCUACGGGAGGCAGCAGUGGGGAAUAUUGGACAAUGGGGGCAACCCUGAUCCAGCCAUGCCGCGUGAGUGAUGAAGGCCUUAGGGUUGUAAAGCUCUUUCGCACGCGACGAUAAUGACGGUAGCGUGAGAAGAAGCCCCGGCUAACUUCGUGCCAGCAGCCGCGGUAAUACGAAGGGGGCUAGCGUUGCUCGGAAUCACUGGGCGUAAAGCGCGCGUAGGCGGAUCUUUAAGUCAGGGGUGAAAUCCCGGGGCUCAACCCCGGAACUGCCUUUGAUACUGGGGAUCUUGAGUUCGAGAGAGGUUGGUGGAACUGCGAGUGUAGAGGUGAAAUUCGUAGAUAUUCGCAAGAACACCAGUGGCGAAGGCGGCCAACUGGCUCGACACUGACGCUGAGGCGCGAAAGCGUGGGGAGCAAACAGGAUUAGAUACCCCCGUAGUCC
rnacentral:rRNA from 1 species